rnacentral:rRNA from 1 species
GGGGGCAGCGUACACAUGCAGUCGAGCGGUAACAUUUCUAGCUUGCUAGAAGAUGACGAGCGGCGGACGGGUGAGUAAUGCUUGGGAACAUGCCUUUAGGUGGGGGACAACAGUUGGAAACGACUGCUAAUACCGCAUGAUGUCUACGGACCAAAGUGGGGGACCUUCGGGCCUCACGCCUAAAGAUUGGCCCAAGUGGGAUUAGCUAGUUGGUGAGGUAAUGGCUCACCAAGGCGACGAUCCCUAGCUGGUUUGAGAGGAUGAUCAGCCACACUGGGACUGAGACACGGCCCAGACUCCUACGGGAGGCAGCAGUGGGGAAUAUUGCACAAUGGGCGCAAGCCUGAUGCAGCCAUGCCGCGUGUGUGAAGAAGGCCUUCGGGUUGUAAAGCACUUUCAGUCAGGAGGAAAGGGUGUGUUUUAAUAGAGCACAUCUGUGACGUUACUGACAGAAGAAGCACCGGCUAACUCCGUGCCAGCAGCCGCGGUAAUACGGAGGGUGCGAGCGUUAAUCGGAAUUACUGGGCGUAAAGCGUACGCAGGCGGUUUGUUAAGCGAGAUGUGAAAGCCCCGGGCUCAACCUGGGAACUGCAUUUCGAACUGGCAAAC